CCUGCGGGUUGUAAAUCACUUUAGUUGGGGAAGAAAAGUGGAUGGUAAAUAGCUAUCCAAAAUGACGUUACCCAAAGAAUAAGCACCGGCUAACUCUGUGC
rnacentral:rRNA from 1 species